UACGGAGGGUGCGAGCGUUGUCCGGAAUCACUGGGCGUAAAGGGCGCGUAGGUGGUUCGAUAAGUCGCUGGUGAAAUUCCGGGGCUCAACUCCGGAGCUGCCGGCGAGACUGUCGGACUUGAGCACGGUAGGGGCAGAUGGAAUUCCCGGUGUAGCGGUGGAAUGCGUAGAUAUCGGGAAGAAUACCAGUGGCGAAGGCGUUCUGCUGGGCCGUUGCUGACACUGAGGCGCGACAGCGUGGGGAGCAAACAGGAUUAGAUACCCUGGUAGUCCACGCCGUAAACGAUGGACACUAGGCGUCGGGGGGAGCGACCCUCCCGGUGCCGUCGCUAACGCAGUAAGUGUCCCGCCUGGGGAGUACGGCCGCAAGGCUGAAACUCAAAG
rnacentral:rRNA from 1 species